GAUAAUCAAUUUAUGUUAUAUAUGUUUUGAUCUAUGUUCGAUAUAUACUAUAUAAUGAUAUAUGCUGGGAUAUGUUUUAAGUGUAUAAAUGUUAUUUAUGUUAAGCCAGGUGGUUUGGACAUUUUUAUGUAUUAAGUACUUGUAAUAUGAUUUAUUGCACAUUGUUAAAUUGAAUAUGUAAUUAUUUAGACGAUAAUAAUAUGGUUAAUUAUUGAAGCAAGAGUAAAUUUAUCAAAGUCUGCUCUCUCUAGCACGUCUCUGUCUGCUCUCUCUAGCAGUAUUAGGGUUUUUUUGGUUUUGUUUUAUUGAUUUAAUGUGACGGCGUCUUCUAUUAAGAUCAUUCUUCUUACUUUCGACAUUAAGGUUUAGAGUAAGUAUGGAGACAGAAUUUGCGGGAUUAACAUUGGAGGAGGAGGAAGACGAAAUUUUUCAAAUUCAAUCUGAGGAGGAAACGAAUGGAGUAACGGAAGUCUUGCAAUUGGUGGGUUGUUUCUUAACGGAAAGUACUGUCCAUUUUCCAGCAAUGAGAAGUACUAUGGCAAAUUUGUGGCACCCCGUACGGGGAGUUCAAAUUAGAGAUUUGGGGGAAAAAAGGUACUUAUUUAAAUUUUUUCAUAUAAUGGAUCUUCCAUAAAUUGCAAAUGGGGGAGGACCCUUUGAAGGUCCCGCUUAUCUACUCACCUCUGUGGACCCACAUACAUGAUGUCCCAAUUGGUUUCGUAUCAGAAAAUCCAGCAAUUCAAAUGGGAAAUUUUAUUGGAGAGUUCCUGGAAUAUGAUGGUUCAUACCUGGGAAAAGAAAGUAGAAAUUUUAUGAGAAUACGCGUCAAAAUUGAUAUAUGGUACCCUUUAAAAAGGAAAAAACAGAUAAGGUGUUAUGGAAAGUGCUCAUAUGCUCAUUUUAAAUAUCAACGACUUUCACUUUUUUGCUUUUUUUGUGGUCGACUGGGCCAUAGCGAUUCCUUUUGUGAAACAAAGAUGGUGUUAGGAGCAGAAACCAAAGAGAUGGGAUGGGAUUUAUCAAUUAGGACACAGUCUCAUCGAGCUCAAAUGAUGACCAGUGUAUGGUUGCGAGAAGAAUGUGGGGACAAGGGAGAGGAAAUAAUAGGGAAAGUCAAACUAAGGAGGUUAACGUCAAGGAUCCAAUGGAUAAUAGGGGGAUUUGUGAAUUUCUUGAUCCAGUAUUGGGAAUUAAUUUGGUAGGAAGGGAAUAUCAUACAGGAAGUAAAUACAAGAAUGAAAGUGGUAAUUUGGAGAACAGCUCAAUGGAACAUGAUCUUGAAGAUGAUGUGAUCGUUAGAGAAGAGGGUAAAAAGAGAAACAGAAGGGACAUGGAAGAUGUCUUGGCCAAAGAGAAGACUAACGUUUUGGCGGAAAGGAGUAAGAGAACAGUGGAGGUUAAUCAUAAAUUAUCCGCGGCUGUCAAGUGGGCAGCUGACCGAUCACAAUGAAAAUUUUAAGUUGGAAUAUCCGUGGAUUGGGGAGUCCACGGACAAUUCAAAGGCUUCGUCAGUAUAUGCUGAAGCUAUACAAUCCCCAGAUAGUCUUCUUCAUGGAGACGAAAAUUAAUUGCAGUCAGAUGGAAAAAGUUAGAAGAAGCUGUGGGUUUUUAAACGAUAUUGAUGUUAGUUCAGAGGGAUCUAGAGGUGGGCUAUGUUUGGCUUGGCGAGCUGGGAUAAAUGUCCAGCUCCAAAGCUUUUCAAAAUGACAUAUUGAUGUGAUCAUUAAUGAUACAACAGAAGGGUACAAAUGUAGAUUUACAGGGUUUUAUGGGUCUCCAUAUCCACAAGAAAGAGUUGAGGCAUGGAAUCCUUUACGUCACUUAGGCAUGGUUAGGAAGCUACCAUGGAUGGUUUGUGGAGACUUCAAUGAAAUUCUGUAUAGUUUUGAGAAAAAAGGUGGUUUAUCGCGUGAGGAAGGACGAAUGGAAGCUUUUCGUAAGGUAUUGGAGGAGUGCAGCUUGUCUGAUAUGGGGUUUAAUGGAAACUGGUUUACGUGGGAAAGGGGGAAUUUGCCUGAAACUAAUAUUCAAAAGGGGUUGGAUAGGGGAGUGGCGAAUGAAGAAUGGUUACAAAUAUUCCUUGAAUUUCAGAUUCAGCAUCUCCCACAUACAUUUUCUAAUCAUUGCCCAUUAUUGGUUCAUACAAAAAAGGAAUGCAGAGAAAGGGUCCAUAAAGAAUUCAAGUUUAAAGCAUGGUGGGACUUGGAGGAUUCAUUCUUAGAAUAAGUUAAAAACAUCUGGGACAAUUCUGAGGGUGAGUUUUUAAGUAAGCUAAACAGUAUGAAAAGGGGGUUGGAGGGAUGGGCUAAAAAAAUACAUUACUCUAGGGAAGGAAGGAAAAAGUUGCUAUCCACAAAACUGGCCACAUUAUUAGAGGCGGAAAAAGAUAAAGAAAUUCUGGCAGAUCUGAUUGAUAUGAAAAUUCAACUGAACUUGGAGAUUGAAAAGGAUGAACGGUAUUGGGAACAAAGAGCGAGGGUUAACUGGUUAAAGCUUGGGGAGAAGAAUACAGCCUUCUUCCACAAACAAGCAACGCAGAAAAGAUAGAGGAACCUGACUCAAAAAAUGCAGAAUGAUCAUAGAAGGGAAAUAGAGGACUCAAAUGAAAUGAAGGCGAUAACCAGAAUUUAUUUUCAAAAGGUUUUUUCUGCGGGUAGAAGAGCAAAUUAUGAGCAUGUUUUGUCUGGAGUUACCCAAUGUAUAUCGGAGGAAGACAAUUUUAUGCUAAAAGAGAGAUACACAAAGGAGGAGAUUCAGCAGGCAUUAUCGUAAUUAGGGCCCACCAAAGAACCAGGGGAAGAUGGACUUCCAACAUUAUUCUACCAGAAAUGCUGGACGAUUAUUGGGGAUGAAGUGACUAACUUCUGUCUCGAUCAUCUAAAUGGAGGGAUGGAGAUUGGCCCAAUCAACAAAACAAAUAUCGUUUUAAUUCUAAAAAUUUCAAAUCCAGUGGAUAUUUCACACUUUAGGCCCAUUAGUUUGUGUAAUGUUAUAUAUAAAUUAAUGGCCAAAGUUAUUGCGAAUCGUCUUCGAAAAGUUUUAGAAAAAUGCAUUAAUCCUGCCCAAAGUGCUUUUGUGCCUGGGAGAUUAAUUUCGGAUAAUGUAUUGUUGGCAUAUGAGCUAUUCCAUACACAAACAGAAGAGGGUAGGGAAGAAAGGAUUUAUGGCGGUCAAGCUGGAUAUGAGCAAGGCGUAUGAUAGGGUAGAAUGAAACUUUGUGGAGGAGAUGUUGAAGAAAAUGGGCUUUGACUCAGAGUGGGUAGCUUUACUUUUAAGGUGUGUAAAUUCGGUUUCUUAUUCGGUGGUUCUUAAUGGUAAAAAUGGAGAAAUUUUCACCCCCUCUAGAGGAUUGCGACAAGGUGACCCAUUGAGUCCGUUUUUAUUCCUAUUUUGUGGAGAAGGCCUUUCUAGCCUCAUGAGGCUAGGAAUAUAGGAGAACAAAGUCAGAGGGGUCAAAGCAAGCAGAAGUGGACCACAGGUUUCACAUCUACUAUUUGCAGAUGAUUGUAUGCUGUUUGGGGAAGCAACAGAAAGGAGUUUAAGUUACUUGAAACAGAUUCUGCAUCAAUACGAAGCUUGUUCGGGUCAGAAGGUAAAUUAUUCGAAGUCUAUAAUUUUUUUCAGCAGCAACACACAGGAGGAAGAAAUACGAACAAUUAAUCGAGUUCUUAGGGUGCGAGGAUCAGAUGACAUGGAAAGAUAUCUAGGGCUCCCUAACUUGGUGGGAAGAAGGAAAAAAGCUGCGUUUCAGAUUUUAAAAGAUAGAUUCAGGCAACGAAUUGAUAAUUGGAGCAUCAAAUACCUCUCACAAGGAGGUAAGGAGAUUUUCAUCAAAGCUGUUUUACAAUCCAUUCCAACAUACGCAAUGUCUUGUUUUUUACUCCCUAUAUCUCUUUGUAAGGAAUUAGAAAGCAUUAUUGCAAAAUUUUGGUGGCAAAAAAAUAAGGGGAAAAAGGGGAUGCAUUGGUGUGCAUGGAAGGACAUUUGCUUAGUAAAAGAAUUAGGUGGUCUAGGUUUUAGAUGCUUAGAUAAGUUUAAUAUAGCAUUAUUAGCUAAACAAGGUUGGCGUCUUAUUAAUUAUCCGAGUUCUUUGUUAGCCCGAGUUUUAAAAGCUAAAUACUUACAUAGAAAGAACUUCUUGAAUGCAUCUUUAAGUAACUUACCUUCACUUACCUGGAGAAGCAUUUGGUCAACAAAAAAACUCCUGAUGGACGGAUUAUGCUAGAGGGUAGGUGUAGGGGACCAUAUCUCCGUAUGGAAUGAUUGCUGGGUUUCGGGAGCAACUGAAGAUAGAUUACAGAAUAACAGCAGAAGUGAAAGUAUCAGAGUAGUGGCCGACUUAAUUAAUGCAGAGAGUAGAACAUGGAAAAGAGACUUGAUUGUCAAUACCUUUAAUACGGAUAUCGCAAGGAAGAUUCUACGGAUUCCACUUUCAAAGACUGCCCAAGAAGACAUCCAAGUAUGGAGAGGGGAGGCUACUGGAGUCUUUUCAGUUAGAAGCGCUUAUAAACUAUUACAGGAGUCAACAUUAGAGCCUAAUGCUUAUUUACAGACUGAUACAAAAAAAUUUUACAAGAAAUUAUGGAAACUACAGUUGCCCUUAAAAAUUAAAAUUACAGUAUGGAGAAUAACGUGGAAUUACAUAUCCACUUUCUCUAAUCUAAAAUCGAGAAGAGGUUCGUUGUUUGAGAUGUAGCCAGGACGAAGAAGAUAGCAUCCACGUCUUCCAAAUGUGUCCUAUAGCAAAAGAAAUAUGGAGUCAUUUGAACUUUUCUUGGGUACUUAAUGACAAUCAUGGUGAUAUAUGGAGUUGGCUUAUCUGGGUAUUCAGCAAAGGGACAAAUGAACAGUGCAUGGGAUUUUGCUGCGGGCUAUGGGGAAUCUGGACAAGCAGAAAUAAGUUUAUAUAUGAAAGAAAAUAUAGUACCAGUUGGGAUAUAUCGAAGCAAAUUCAAAGUUAUAUUUUAGAACUAGAAGGUGUUAAAGAAAGGGUACUCACUUUGGCAACCAGUACAAGGCCUAGACAGAGGAUACGAAGGGCGAAUAAGGCCAUCUUUUUCGAUGCGGCGUUUGAUUCACAAAACCACAGAUCUGCGUCAGGUCUUAUUGUUAAAAAUGAGGCGGGCAGAAUCGUUGGAGCAAAAUCGAUCCUUCAUGACAAUGUUGCAUCUCCGUUUGCGGCGGAAGCAUAUGCAAGAUUUCAAGCAACAAGGUUAGGGAUCCAGUUGGAAUAUUAUACUUUGGAUAUAAUAGGAGAUUCAAAAACAGUGAUAAAAAAAUGUCAAAGUGGAAACCGAGACAGAUCAGAAAUAGGAGGAAUUAUCAGCGAUAUUCAAAGCUUCAAAGAUUUAUUCCACAAAGUCAGAUUUUACUUCAACUCAAGGUCUGAAAAUAUUGAAGCACACAGACUAGCAAAAAGAACACUUCAAACGGGAGUGGAACAGUACCUGGAGGGAGAGACCUUAAGAUCGAUUGGUGAAGACUCGGAGCCAAGCUGCUUGGGUAAUCUAGAGUAGAAAGGAAAGGGGAUAAGAUUUUGGCUUUUGGCAUCAAUAAAUGACGAUUGAAAUGAAAAGGAGGAUGUUGUUUGUAAAAGUAAUCUGAUAAGUAAAAGAUUUGAAAGGAUUUGCUUUUACUUUUCAGUUGUCUUGGGCAGAGGAAAAGGCAGAUGGAUUUAUGAAGACAACUGACCGAUCGACUGGAAUUUUGAAUUUGUUUAUUUUAUUAUUUUACUUAAGGUGGGCUAAAUUGAUGUAAGCCUGCUUUUGCUGGUUUUGUUUCUUAGGUUUUGUUUAUUGGGUUCGACCCAAGAGACGUUUUCGUUUUAAUUUUAGGGUGUUAAUCCAGUCGAUUUUUCAAAAAAAAAUUUAUUGAAGCACGAUUUUUAUGUGUGAUAUGACUAGAUCAAAAGUAUAAUUUGAUUUUGGUUGACUAUGUGACCCA
rnacentral:lncRNA from 1 species